CCUACGGGCGGCAGCAGUGAGGAAUAUUGGUCAAUGGCCGAGAGUCUGAACCAGCCAAGUAGCGUGAAGGAUGACUGCCCUAUGGGUUGUAAACUUCUUUUAUAAAGGAAUAAAACGAGGCACGCGUGCCUUUUUGAAUGUACUUUAUGAAUAAGCAUCGGCUAACUCCGUGCCAGCAGCCGCGGUAAUACGGAGGAUCCGAGCGUUAUCCGGAUUUAUUGGGUUUAAAGGGAGCGUAGAUGGGUUGUUAAGUCAGUUGUGAAAGUUUGCGGCUCAACCGUAAAAUUGCAAUUGAUACUGGCAGUCUUGAGUACAGUUGAGGUAGGCGGAAUUCGUGGUGUAGCGGUGAAAUGCAUAGAUAUCACGAAGAACCCCGAUUGCGAAGGCAGCUUACUAAACUGUGACUGACAUUGAUGCUCGAAAGUGUGGGUAUCAAACAGGAUUAGAUACCCCAGUAGUC
rnacentral:rRNA from 1 species